GAGGAGAUGACUGGGUGGUAGAAUGCCUGCCUUACAUGCAUGAGGCCUGGGUUCAGUCCCAGUCACUUUG
rnacentral:tRNA from 1 species